UGGCUCAGGUGGUAGAGCAUGGUGCUUCCAAUGUCAGGGCUGUGGGUUCGAUUCCCAU
rnacentral:tRNA from 1 species